rnacentral:tRNA from 1 species
UACAAAUUAAAUAUAUUUUACUUCCAUGUUUGGUUUUUUUCUCAAAUGUGAGAAACAAAAACCCCCGUAAACACAAGCUCCCAGCGAGGUUUGAACUCGCGACCUUUCGCUUAAGAAGCGAACGCACUGUCACUAUGCUAUGGAAGCAGCCCGGAAUUCGUUGAGGCUGAUACUUUUUUUAUAAUUUUCAAAGGGUGCCGGUAUAACAAAACCCUAGCAGGAGGAGAGGGAUCGGAGAAGGAGAAGAUGUGCGGGAUCGCCCUGAUCAUCUGUGGCAUUCGCAUCGACUUAUCGGCUACUCUCCUCCAUUCUCAAUCUCCUGGUCCUAACCCUGAGCCGGUAAGCAGUUCAAAUUUUGUGUUUUCCGUCGAUGAUCUCGAAGCAGCUCUCCGGAGACGAGGCCCUGAUAGCUUGGGCAGCAAGAAGGUCAUAAUUUCUUCGAAGGACCAAGAAUUGUUCUCUGCAAUCGAGGAUGAAGACGGUGGUGCUAAACUGCUGGAUUGUGCAAAUGGAGAAACUUGUUUGCAAGUUCCAUAUUCUGUGGGCCAAUUGCACUUCAUUGGCGCCACACUGCAACUUAGAGGAAGAACUCCUGUAACUCAACCAUUAGUCGAUUAUUCCGGCAAUAUUCUUAUUUAUAAUGGUGAAAUUUUUGGAGGAAUUCAUGUUGAGAGUGAUAGCAAUGAUGGUGAAAUUCUCAUGAAAACUCUGGGAAGGUGCUGCUCCUGCAGUUCUCGAGAACAUACAAGUGCUUGCUCUGGCAGUGGAAAAGGGAAAAGUUCUGUUCUAGAUGUUCUUUCAACAAUCAAGGGCCCAUGGGGUGUAAUCUAUUGGCAGAAUAGUUCAAGAACACUGUGGUUUGGACGGGAUGCAUUUGGUAGGCGUAGCCUUCUCGUUCAUUGGCCAACCAUGAAGGACUCUCGGUUUCUGCUAUCUUCUGUAUCACCAUUUUCUUCUGUUGAUCAGAGUUCUGGUAUAUAAUGAUUGGUAGAGCUUUUCUUAUCUUGAUUCUCUAAUUACCAUAUGCUUUCUGGAUGGUUGUGAAGAUUAGUUGCAUGAUCUGGAACAAUGAUUUCCAAUAAAAGGAGCAAGGUUUCUGUUAACAUUUUGUUUUAUUGUUUCAAGUUGGAUAAUAUUACUUUCUUUAUCUUCAGCAUAAUCAAAAUUCUUGAUUGCUUUUGUCUGUUUCUUUUAUGCUUGUCUGGUUUUAUUCCCUGUUACUUUCCAUUGUUUUAUAUUUAUUGAAUGCAUUACUAGAGUGCAUUCCACCAGAUCAAUAAAAAGUUUUGGCUUUGCAUAUAAAUUUGUUUAAUAAGCAUUAUUACCAUUUUAAAAUCUGGGGGAGUGUCUGCAAUGAUCUGAUGUUCAUAUUAACUACAUACCUUGGGGAACCACAGAAUAUGCAUCACUUUAUGGAUGCAACUGUAAAUCAUGAUACACUGGUAACAAUUUUCUAACACAUGCCAUUAAGUUGGUGCAGAUCUUGGAGUUGAAGAUAGUACAAACCCCAAUUUUUGGGAGGAGCUUUCAUGUGGGGUAUACAGUUUGUCAAUGAGUUCUUCAAAACUGUAUGGAUGUCUUUUUGGUGAAGUCAAGAAACAUGAAUGGGCUAAUGCCAGGCUGAUAGACCUGAUUAAAUGGGAGAGAGUUUCUGUUGAACCUAAACCAGAAGACAUAUAUUUUUCAUGUGGGCCUAAUGAAAGCUCUGUUUCAUUGCCAGCUCAGAAUGUGUUAAGUUCUUUAAGGAGAUCUGUGAUGCUACGCACGUCACUGCAUAAAAUUUUUCAGGCAGGAACAUCUGAUAGUGGACAAGAGGAACUUGUUCCUGUGGCAGUCCUGUUUUCUGGUGGUUUGGAUUCUAUGAUACUUGCAGCAUUAUUGGAUGAGUGCCUAGAUACCAGCUAUGGAAUUGAUUUACUGAAUGUGAGCUUUGAUGGUCGGUUUGCUCCUGAUAGAAUCUCUGCCAAGGCAGGUGUAGAGGAACUUAGAAGAAUCGCACCAUUGAGAAGGUGGAAACUUGUAGAGAUUGAUGCUGAUUUGUCAAAGUUGACUUUGGAAAUGAAGCAUGUUAUGUCUCUCAUUAACCCUGCAAAUACCUACAUGGACCUGAAUAUAGGAAUUGCUUUAUGGCUGGCUGCAAGAGGUUAUGGUUGGGUCUAUGAAGGAACUGGCAAUAACAAUGUUGAGAAUCAACAGCGCAUUAGAUACAAAUCCAAGGCCAGGAUUGUCCUGGUUGGCUCUGGUGCUGAUGAGCAGUGUGCUGGUUAUGGAAGGCAUAAAACAAAAUAUAGAUGUGGAAGUUGGCUUGGGCUCAAUGAGGAGAUGAAGUUGGACAUGCAAAGAAUAUGGAAGCGAAACAUGGGGAGAGAUGAUAGAUGCAUUUCAGAUAAUGGAAAGGAGGCUAGAUUCCCUUUCUUGGAUGAAGAUGUUAUUAGGACUCUUCUUGAUAUUCCUUUGUGGGAGGUUGCUAACCUUAAUCAACCCAAUGGGACAGGUGAUAAGAAGAUCCUGAGAGAGGUUGCAAAAAUGCUUUGUUUACAUGAGGCAGCAGUUCUUCCGAAACGAGCAAUCCAGUUUGGUUCGAGAAUUGCAAGGGAAUCCAAUCGAAGGAAUUUUGGAAGUAAUCGUGCGGCAAACCAGGCAUCUGCUGGGAGUGUAGUAAUAAAUAUGCCAUAGCAACGUAUAUACUAUCAAUGCUUGGUACUGCAAACCUUGAUGGCUGUUCCAAGUCAUGUGUUCCUCUGAUCCUAGAACUGUGGCCAACAUGGAGCGAUCUUGAGCCAGCAUCAGGCAGCUGCACCUUUUCGGCGAGCAUUUGCAACUGUUUCUGUCAAUGGAAUUGGAAGGCAUCAGAGAUGCCAAUUGUGCUGUUGAUUUUUGAACUGGCUUUUGAGAAGAAUAUGGGCAAUCAGUAUUCUUGCUGGAUUGAAUCCAGUGCCUAUCACAACAGCAAGUGUUUGAGGAGUUUCAGCUGUCGGAGCGCUUUAAGACUUUCUGUUAAAAUGUGUAUGUUGUGAGAUUUUCAUUUAAACCCUAAUUUAUCAUUUUCUAUCUCCCCUUUACAAGCUUUACAAGAGGUUAUUUAGUGGCUGUUAGCAUUUAAAUCUCACCAAUUAUUAAAAUUUUCUGCAGGGUUUU